rnacentral:rRNA from 1 species
GUGGGGAAUCUUAGACAAUGGGCGCAAGCCUGAUCUAGCCAUGCCGCGUGAGCGAUGAAGGCCUUAGGGUUGUAAAGCUCUUUCGUGAGGGAAGAUAAUGACGGUACCUACAGAAGAAGCCCCGGCUAACUUCGUGCCAGCAGCCGCGGUAAUACGAAGGGGGCUAGCGUUGUUCGGAUUUACUGGGCGUAAAGCGCACGUAGGCGGAUUGGUCAGUUAGAGGUGAAAUCCUGGAGCUCAACUCCAGAACUGCCUUUAAUACUGCCAGUCUAGAGUCCAGAAGAGGUGAGUGGAACUCCUAGUGUAGAGGUGGAAUUCGUAGAUAUUAGGAAGAACACCAGUGGCGAAGGCGGCUCACUGGUCUGGUACUGACGCUGAGGUGCGAAAGCGUGGGGAGCAAACAGGAUUAGAAACCCCGGUAGUCC